rnacentral:lncRNA from 1 species
CUCCCAGGCUUGGUUUUCUCCAUCCUUGAGAAUAAAUUUCCCACACAUUUUCCCACAUUUUUGGAUCUCUGUGUGUGUGUGUCUCAGUGGCAGCGCCGAGGACGCGGUGUCACCGCCCCUGUGCCAAGGUGUGGGAUCUCAGGAUCUGAGUCCUGAGAUGCUGAGCCUCCGAGACCACCCUUGGGGGGCCCGGGAGUCCUGGAAUGUUGCCAGAAGUGUUUGGUGGCAGGACUUUGACCCUACACGGGAGACGACACCUUUAUGAAGAUAAGAGGACUUCACCGGGGUGAAUGGCAAAGAGAUUAGCUAAUUAGAGGGUGAGACACAGGGUUUAGGAUUUAUGUACAGGGGGGUUUAGAGGAGUAAGAUGGAGGAAUUGGGGUGUGUCCUGUCCUNGUUUGGGAUCCCUCUGUUCCUCAGGGAUUUCCCUCUGAUCCCAAGGGGGGUUUCUCUCUUUUAGGGUUUCUCCCCUGUUAAUUCUGAUCCCCCUGGAAGGCAGCUCCUCCCAGGGAAUUCAGACCCGGAUUUGGGGUCGGGAUUGGGAUUUCCCCAUGGAAAAAGGGUCUGAUCCCCCUGGAAGGAUUUCCCUAUGGAAAAAGGGUCUGAUCCCCAUGGAAAGUAAGCUCCUCCCAAGGGGUUCAGACCCGGAUUUGGGAUUGGGAUUUCCUCAUGGAAAAAGGGUCUGAUCCUUCUGGAAGAAUGCUCCUUUCAGUGGGUUCAGAUCCAGAUUUGGGAUUGGGAUUUCCCUAUGGAGAAAUGGUCUGAUCCCCAUGGGAUUUCCCCAUGUUAAAAGGGUCUGAUCCCCCUGUAGGGAAGCUCCUUUCAGGGGGUUCAGACCUGGAUUUGGGAUUGGGAUUUCCCCAUGGAAAAAGGGUCUCACCCCCAUGGGAUUUCCCCCUGGGAUUCCCCUGGAAGGAUGCUCCUUUCAGUGGGUUCAGAUCCAGAUUUGGGAUUGGGAUUUCCCCAUGGAAAAAGGGUCUGAUCCCCCUGUAAGGAUGCUCCUCCCAGGGAAUUCAGACCUGAAUUUGGGAUCGGGAUUGAGCUUUCCCUAUGGAAAAAGGGUCUGAUCCUCCUGGAAGGAUACUCGUCCCACAGGGUUCAGAUCCAGAUUUGGGAUUGGGAUUUCCCCAUGGAAAAGGGGUCUGAUCCCCCUGUAAGGAAGCUCCUCCCAGGGAAUUCAGACCCGGAUUUGGGAU